rnacentral:lncRNA from 1 species
UCGAAGGAGAGUGGGACGACUGCAACCUGCUGCAGCUAAGUAUGCAAGGAUAGCGCCGACCGGCUUCCGAGUCGACAUCCCACUGAGUCCCACCGCAGCCACCACAGCCAGCCCUGCCCAGGGGCUUCCACGUGGGAAGGCUGUAACAGACAGACAGCAGCCACGAUGAUACACGCUGAAAACAGCCAGCAGAAAAAAUGAGGAGAGAGUGGUAUGACGGAGUGGAAUUCCGGUUGUGGAUGACAGAAUGGAAAUUAUGCGCAAGAUGAAAGAGUUAAGACAAAUUACUCUAAAAAUAUCUGACUUAGUUGUUUCUAAACCCUGGGGCACCCUUAGGAAAAAAUAAAAAUAAAAAAAU